GAAUAGAUACCCCUGGUAGUCCUAGCCGUAAACGAUACUCGCUAGGUGUCGGCCACGGUGCGACCGUUGUCGGUGCCGUAGGGAAGCCGUGAAGCGAGCCACCUGGGAAGUACGGCCGCAAGGCUGAAACUUAAAGGAAUUGGCGGGGGGAGCACCACAACGGGUGGAGCUUGCGGUUUAAUUGGAUUCAACGCCGGAAAUCUUACCGGGACCGACAGCAACAUGAAGGCCAGGCUGAAGACUUUGCCGGAUUAGCUGAGAGGUGGUGCAUGGCCGUCGUCAGUUCGUACUGUGAAGCAUCCUGUUAAGUCAGGCAACGAGCGAGACCCACGCCCACAGUUGCCAGCGUACUCUCCGGAGUGACGGGUACACUGUGGGGACCGCCGCUGCUAAAGCGGAGGAAGGAAUGGGGCAACGGUAGGUCAGUAUGCCCCGAAUAUCCCGGGCUACACGCGAGCUACAAUGGUUGGUACAAUGGGUAUCUACCCCGAAAGGGGAUGGAAAUCUCCUAAAGCCAAUCUUAGUUCGGAUUGAGGGCUGCAACUCGCCCUCA
rnacentral:rRNA from 1 species